rnacentral:lncRNA from 1 species
UACAUCAUUGGUAUGAUUUAAUGUGGCAAGUCAUGUAUUCAAAUUGCAUUUUAAAGUACGUCCUAGAAUUACUGAACUGAAGAAUCAGCAAGUCUUUGAGUGUAUACUUCAAAGGUGUUUUCUACUUUCCUCUUAAAAAAAUGUGGAACAGUCCUCAGGCUCAUCUUACAUUCUUAUUUUUAAAGAUUAAAGCAAUUUCAUCUGAAAAUUAUAUUAAUAUUCCAGUUUGUUAUUUCCAUAUAAGUGUUUGAACUUAUUUAGGUCAGCAAGCAUUUGCUCUCAAGUGAUCUUAUUCUUCAACCCCUUUUAACCAAACUCUGUCCCAUCCUUUCUAAAGUGUGAAACAGUUUGAGGGUGUGGUCACCCUGUGCCUUUCCUGCUGACACAACAUGGCUGAAAUGCCAUCCAGCCCUGUGUGGCUCCCGAAGUUGCUUUUUGUCAAAUGACCCUCUUCAUCAUCGGGAAUGGUGGACUCCUUCUGGAUUUAGUCUUUCUGACUCUUUUCUCACAUGUUCUUGAC